GUGGGGCCAUCAUGCUGGGUUAUCAUACUACUUUCUGUCUCUAUUUUUCCAUGGAGGCGCAAAUAAAGAUUAUUCUCCUCUAUUCACAUCCAAAAACUGAGAUUGUGCUCAAAAUAUGACUGGCAGUACGGCUGGACAAUAUGACUGAAAAACAUAUGUGUCAAAAUCGAUAUGUCAAUAUUCAUACUUUUCGAUUGGUUUUUUGUUUUACAUGUCCAAAAUACUGCCAAACUGACCUGUCCUGCUUUGUCCACAAUUUCCUCUUGAGCUGUUGUACUCAUUUUGUCCUUUCAGAAAAUGAGUCCUGGUGAAACACAGCCCCUUGUUUGCCUUUGCUUUGCUUCAUACAGAUGGUGUAGACUCUCUGCUAUUGAGAAACAAUUACAAUUACUUCCUGGAGGUGUGGGCUCUGUUGAAGUUACAAUCGUUUUGCCAUGACAUAUAUAAUGCACCAGUUCAAAGCAUCAGAAAUUGCCUGUGCUGUAAACAACCCUCCACUACCACUGCUAAAGCUACAGCCAGAAUACAGAGACAUGUUGUCAUCUUUCACAAUUUCUUCUGUUCACUGAUUGGCCCAGUAGAAAUUCUACUGAAGGAAUCCAAGUGAAUGAGAGAAAGCCCAAACUGUCUGUGAAGUGAGAAUUGAGCAGAAUGUGUUUUACAGGAAGGCAAAGGCCAGGCUAGAGGCACGGUGGCAAAACAACAAACUGCUGCUGCACAAAUUACUCAACAAGUUAUUGCUAGCUUACCAAUGAGUGAGCCAUUGACCAGCUAACGUCUUUCCUUUGCCUACAUCCCCCAGAAUGCAUUGUUCAUUGAAAUUAUUGGAAUAUUCUGUUGAAUGUAUUUUCUGUUGAUAUUGAGCAUGUGUUUGUUUAUCACCAUUUUUAAUGUUAAUGAUGCCCAGCCCAAGUCAAAGACAAACAGGACACUGUACAUUAACUGACACUGUGUCCUUACAACUUUUUACAACUAAUUUCUGUAAACAAACAUGAGCCUCUCUAAAUCCAAAGCAUUAGCUGUGAACCAACUUUUCUUUGGC